AGGCAAUAACAGGUCUGUGAUGCCCUUAGUUAUCCUAGGUCGCACGCGCCAUACAAUGUGGCGCACAACGAGUUUCCUAGGCCGAUAGGAUUGUCUCCUAGCCAGAUCUCGAGGGAUCGCGUGGCAGCAUGGGUCAGCAGAGAGUAGUUUCGAUCAUGUGUCGUUGUUACAUUUGUUGCUGUGAUGCUGUCUCAGCUAAGAGACACUGGGCAAUCAGAGAGAGCGCUACGUGACUGGGCUAGACUUUUGUAAUUGUUGGUCUUGAACGAGGAAUGCCUAGUAAUCGUAGGUCAUUAUCCUGCGAUGAUUAUGUCCCUGCCCUUUGUACACACCGCCCGUCGCUCCUGCCGUGGCUCGUGCCGGUGAAGAGGGGGAGGCAGCGUCAACGGAGUAACAUCUGAUUGUACGUGGAACCCCUCUGAACCUUCGCGAGUAGAGGAAGGAGAAGUCGUAACAAGGUUUUCGUAGGUGAACCUGCGAAAGGAUCCAUUAU
rnacentral:rRNA from 1 species